AGUCGUAACAAGGUUUCCGUAGGUGAACCUGCGGAAGGAUCAUUAACACUUUUUUUUUAAUAAAAAAACUCCUAUCAAAAAACACACACAGAGAACUAUCGGUGCUACCUAAAACUUAAGUAAAAAAAGUGGGAGGAGAAGAAAAAGCUUUUUGGGCGGGGGAGGGUUUGCCCCCUCCCCCUCCCUUCUUCUUUUCCGUCUCUUCCUCUUUUUUCGCUCUCUAUUCAACCCCUUCAACCUUUUUCUUUUCUUCUCUUUUUUUUCCUCCUCUUUUGGAGGUCAAAAAGGAAAAGGAAAUACCAAACAAAAAAACUAUAAAACAAAACAAAAAAAAAACUAAAAUACAACUCUUAACAAUGGAUAUCUUGGUUCUCGC
rnacentral:misc_RNA from 1 species